ACAGGUUUUUCCUCUUUUUUUUGAUUCACUGUUCUGCAAAACCAGAGGAAAUGAGAGAAGACACUCCUCUGAUUUACUACUUUGAUUUAUAAUACAGUGUGUUUAAGAACCUUGUACCAGGACCUGAUGUCCUGGAGUAUUUUGAAGUCAUAUUCCAAUGAAGGAAGAGAUCAGGAAAACACAAAGUCCUUUAAGCUUUUCAAUGAUGAUGAAACUAUAACUCAAAAAAAUCAUCACUACUCUUCAAUUAAAAAGGUAAAAUCACCACCAUGAGUAUUUCUCCACUAUCUGUGUGCCCUAGCAACAGCAGCAGUUCUUUAUUCUCUUCCCACGCUGCUGCCUCUGAUAUGCAACCAGGAGUGGUAACAUUUGCUUUCCUUCUUUCCUCCUCCUCCAUAUGGUAAGUGCAGCUGCUGCCAUCACCAUCGAAUUAAAUGACAACCCUUAUGCUUUGCCAGCUAACUUGUAGAAACAGCUCUACCUCGGUCAGAAAACUGUUAACCAAAAAAAAAUCCUAAAUGUGGCAGUUCUCUUGCAGUGUAAUGGGACCAAAAGCUUUAAAAAUGCCGUGGAUUUUCAUUUCUGUUUGAAUCAGGUGGGCUUUGAAGUUUGCCAAGAAAAUUACACACCACAAACUUAAGUUUUCUUAGGGCAAAAAACCUCAAAGAUAUUUCCAUGUAAUUUUAGCUUAAUGUAGCAAUUUCAUUCUUUGCAACCACUGCAUAUGUUCAAAGACCUGACAGAUGUGCUCAGAGAGAAAUGAGGGAUGUUUACUGGGAAUUGCCAAGCUAAAGGAAGCUAUGGACAGGUUGGUUUGUUUUUAAAUGCAUUUUGCAGUUCUGCUGUUGAAUGUUUUGUGAAAGCUUUUAUGUUUCACAUCACACUGUGUAAGAAUUUUUAGUCUUUUUUGCAGCUGUGCUUAUCUCUUAAAUCAUGAUCUCCCUCUGUCUGCUCCUUAUAAAUCAUGCUUCCUGAAUUACAUUUUUUUUUUGUGGACUACACAGUUGUUCUUCACUGUGUUAUAGUUUUACAUUUAGCAGAAGUAAACUACAUUUGGUAGUUUGCACAAAAGCUACUACCAACUGCUUGUCUUGAUGUAGCUACAGAACAUGAAUUGGAUCCCUUUUCUUUUCUUCUUCUACUCAAAGUUUUAUGAAGACAUUCAGAGAAGUAUGCAACCAGCAGUUUGAUUGAAUUUACAAACAGUUAAAAGAAGUUUCCCAUCUACAAAGAGGGCUGAGUGUUUUCCUUCCAAGGAUGAUGUGGUGCUACUGAAGUGUUUCUUCAAUUUUUCCAGCCUCUUUCCUGGAUCUAGUGAGCUGGACCAAAUUUCAAAAGUCUACAAUGUUACAGGCGUUCUGGCUAACAAAGCUUUCCACAAGUUCAAGCAGUCAAGAAUCGCAAGGUUUGGUUUCUCCUUUAAAAAAGGAAAAGGAAUGCUUCCUGUUGUGCAGUUUGCCUCCCAAAGGCUUCUCUCUCCUGUAUGCAAUGAUAAAAUAUGAUCCUGAUGAGAGAAUUGCUGCCCAUCAAGCAUUACAGCUUAUUUUCAAGAACUCUGGCAAGUGACUUCAAAUCACUUCAGUCUUGAAGACGAAAAUUAAAAAGUGGGGGGAGCACUAUGUGCUUAUUAUUUAAAGUGGACUGAAAUGAAGUUUGCUUACAGUGGUAGUACUAAGCUUGCAAUACAAUGAACAUAAUUCAGUUAUUUGCAUUGAGUCCACACUUCACCUAAAGCACAACUGAUGUUUUAUUCUUUUUUCCUCAAACUUUUUAGGGCACCUGAAACACAAAAAAAUAAGAUUACUGGGAAAUACAUCAGGGCAAGUACUUCUGUGUUUGUGGCACAUUUCAAUGGCAAGUCAAAAGACAGGUAAUAUUUAAGUGGAAGAAUUGUCAGACCACUUAGAGAAAGUAAUUUGUGGCAUUGAGCUUGUUAGCUGGAAACAAAUGUUUUACUUAAGCUGAUUACUUGUUUUUAUUGAGUCUGCCUGAACACUAUCUUUAUUUGGUUUCCCCCUGCCCCCAAGCCCUGAAACACAGGAGUUAGAACUUAGAAGCUGUGAUACCACAUAAUCCCUUCAGUAGACUUUUAUCAUAGUUGCUUUUACUUAAAGAAUUAGUUCCACAUGUUUAUUUUUUUAUAUAGUUAUCUUUUUGCUGUCUUUGAACUAAAGAGCUUUAUAGAAGAAGUUGUAGCAGAGGCACAAAGUGCUUUUGUCUUGCUUUUCAGCCUUCAGUCUACAUCUUGAGCAAGUAGUUUUUUUACUUAAUUAUCCUGUACUUAAGAUGAUAUCCUAAAAAAAUAUGAAGAAAAUAAGAAAAUGGGAAAAUCCUAAAUUUGUAUUUGACAUUGGAAAUUAAAAAUCUGAUUAAAAGUUCUGGCAAACUAAACCUCAGUUUAUGUUCAAGCUAUGUGAAAAAUACUCAAUAUACUCACUCUGAAGAGUCCCUUGUAUCGGCAAGGUGAGACAGAAGUCAGUACUAUGUGCAAAUCCCUCAAAUACAGGUUUUUCUCAAAAAAGCAAAUUGCAUUAGGAAAAAAAAAUUAUAAAUUGUUUUCUGCUGUGCAUUUAACCUCAAAGGCACAACCUCUCCUUCCAUAGAAGCAGCGACUUUUUCCACCAGUUUAACUCUGGGGUUCAUCAAUGUAGGCUUUGUAAGGAAUUCCUUCAGGAAAAAUUGCAAGAAACAUCAAGUGAGGCAGGAAUUUUUAAAAAAGAAUUAGCUGAAGUAGUAUUUGGCAGAGCUCAGUGAGCUCAGUACACCCUGCAUUGAGCUUUUUAAGUAUAUUUUCCUUUUAGAACCUGAUGAAGGAGAAGGUUUGUUAAAAAUAACAUGAAAAGCUUCAGUAUUAGAAUAGAAUAUUAUCUACAAAAUACAGGGUUUCAUAUUACAUUAUAAAUGACAUCUAACCUUUGUAUAGCUUUAGAUGUACAAAGUCUUUAUUUUUCAAUCAGCUCUGGCAAUUAUUUACCUCCUGUGUUCAGUAACUUCAACCUCCACUUUUAUUGAGAAUGUGCCGAUUAUGAACCGUAACAGGUACUUUAUUUUUAUGCAGUUUCUGUAAUUGCUGAAUAUUGCUAUAGACCUAUAAUGUAGCUAAAAACUAAAGCAACUUUUUAUCUGAUUCAAA